rnacentral:rRNA from 1 species
ACAUAAGUAACGAUAAAGCGGGUGAAAAGCCCGCUCGCCGGAAGACCAAGGGUUCCUGUCCAACGUUAAUCGGGGCAGGGUGAGUCGACCCCUAAGGCGAGGCCGAAAGGCGUAGUCGAUGGGAAACAGGUUAAUAUUCCUGUACUUGGUGUUACUGCGAAGGGGGGACGGAGAAGGCUAUGUUAGCCGGGCGACGGUUGUCCCGGUUUAAGCAUGUAGGCUGAUUGUCCAGGCAAAUCCGGAUAAUCAAGGCUGAGGUGUGAUGACGAGGCACUACGGUGCUGAAGUAACAAAUGCCCUGCUUCCAGGAAAAGCCUCUAAGCAUCAGGUAACAUUAAAUCGUACCCCAAACCGACACAGGUGGUCAGGUAGAGAAUACCAAGGCGCUUGAGAGAACUCGGGUGAAGGAACUAGGCAAAAUGGUGCCGUAACUUCGGGAGAAGGCACGCUGGUGUGUAGGUGAAGUCCCUGCGGAUGGAGCUGAGACCAGUCGAAGAUACCAGCUGGCUGCAACUGUUUAUUAAAAACACAGCACUGUGCAAACACGAAAGUGGACGUAUACGGUGUGACGCCUGCCCGGUGCCGGAAGGUUAAUUGAUGGGGUUAUCCGUAAGGAGAAGCUCUUGAUCGAAGCCCCGGUAAACGGCGGCCGUAACUAUAACGGUCCUAAGGUAGCGAAAUUCCUUGUCGGGUAAGUUCCGACCUGCACGAAUGGCGUAAUGAUGGCCAGGCUGUCUCCACCCGAGACUCAGUGAAAUUGAACUCGCUGUGAAGAUGCAGUGUACCCGCGGCAAGACGGAAAGACCCCGUGAACCUUUACUAUAGCUUGACACUGAACAUUGAGCCUUGAUGUGUAGGAUAGGUGGGAGGCUUUGAAGCGUGGACGCCAGUCUGCGUGGAGCCAACCUUGAAAUACCACCCUUUAAUGUUUGAUGUUCUAACGUUGGCCCCUGACCGGGGUUGCGGACAGUGUCUGGUGGGUAGUUUGACUGGGGCGGUCUCCUCCCAAAGCGUAACGGAGGAGCACGAAGGUUAGCUAAUCCUGGUCGGACAUCAGGAGGUUAGUGCAAUGGCAUAAGCUAGCUUGACUGCGAGCGUGACGGCGCGAGCAGGUGCGAAAGCAGGUCAUAGUGAUCCGGUGGUUCUGAAUGGAAGGGCCAUCGCUCAACGGAUAAAAGGUACUCCGGGGAUAACAGGCUGAUACCGCCCAAGAGUUCAUAUCGACGGCGGUGUUUGGCACCUCGAUGUCGGCUCAUCACAUCCUGGGGCUGAAGUAGGUCCCAAGGGUAUGGCUGUUCGCCAUUUAAAGUGGUACGCGAGCUGGGUUUAGAACGUCGUGAGACAGUUCGGUCCCUAUCUGCCGUGGGCGCUGGAGAAUUGAGGGGGGCUGCUCCUAGUACGAGAGGACCGGAGUGGACGCAUCACUGGUGUUCGGGUUGUCAUGCCAAUGGCACUGCCCGGUAGCUAAAUGCGGAAGAGAUAAGUGCUGAAAGCAUCUAAGCACGAAACUUGCCCCGAGAUGAGUUCUCCCUGAGACUUUAAGUCUCCUGAAGGAACGUUAAAGACGAUGACGUUGAUAGGCCGGGUGUGUAAGCGCAGCGAUGCGUUGAGCUAACCGGUACUAAUGAACCGUGAGGCUUAACCUU